rnacentral:rRNA from 1 species
ACGUGGACAACCUAACCUAUGGAGGGGGAUAACCCCGGGAAACUGGGGAUAAUACCCCAUAGACUAUAAAUGCUGGAAUGCUUUGUAGUUGAAAGGUCCGCCGCCAUAGGAUGGGUCUGCGGCCGAUUAGGUUGUUGUUGGGGUAACGGCCCAACAAGCCUGUAAUCGGUACGGGUUGUGGGAGCAAGAGCCCGGAGAUGGAUUCUGAGACACGAAUCCAGGCCCUACGGGGCGCAGCAGGCGCGAAAACUUUACAAUGCGGGAAACCGUGAUAAGGGAACUCCGAGUGCCCGUAAAAUCGGGCUGUCCAUCUGUGUAAAAAACAGGUGAAGAAAGGGCCGGGCAAGACCGGUGCCAGCCGCCGCGGUAAUACCGGCGGCUCGAGUGGUGGCCACUAUUACUGGGCUUAAAGUGUUCGUAGCUGGUCUGUUAAGUCUCUGGGGAAAUCUACUGGCUUAACCAAUAGGCGUCUCAGGGAUACUGGCAGACUAGGGACCGGGAGAGGUGAGAGGUACUCCAGGGGUAGGAGUGAAAUCCUGUAAUCCUUGGGGGACCACCUGUGGCGAAGG